ACCUGAUGAUGUGGGCACUUACAAAGUCGGUCCCUGAUACGCUCCUAGGUCUCAAAGAAAAGUUCCCCAUCCAUUUGUUUGAAACUUGUGAUUGCCUUUCGCAACU